AUGUAUCCCUGUGGUCCCCAUGUAUCCCUAUGGUUCCCCAUGUAUCCCUAUGGGUCCCCAUGUAUUCCUAUGAGUCCCCCAUGUAUCCCUAUGAGCCCCAUGUAUUNNNNNNNNNNNNNNNNNNNNNNNNNNNGGUCCCCAUGUAUCCCUAUGGUCCCCCAUGUAUCCCUAUGGUCCCCAUGUAUCCCUAUGGUCCCCCAUGUAUCCCUAUGGUUCUCCCCGUGUGUCCCCAUGGGUUCCCCAUGUAUCCCUAUGGGUCCCCCAUGUAUCCCUACGGUUCCCCAUGUAUCCCCAUGGGUUCCCCAUGUAUCCCUAUGGUUCACCACGUCCAGUCUUUCCCUGAACGCCCCCCGUGUCGGUGACUGCACCGCCUCCCUGUGCAGCCCAUCCCCGUGCCUGGCCGCCUUUCUGGAAAGCAGUACUUGCUUGUGUCCGUGUUGAGGGACGUUAAAGGGCGCUGCCCCUUUAAGAGGCGUGGUGAAAAGAACUGAGGGGGCGUGGCCCGCUUAAAGAGGCGGGGCCAAAGGGAUGAGAGACCAAAAGGGGGCGUGGCCAGAACAGAACAUGUGCCAGAAGGGGGCGUGGCCAAUGGGGUUGGGGGUGGUGAUGCAAAGGGGGCGUGGUCGAAAAGAAUGAAGACCAAAGCGGGGUGUGGACAAACAGGGGGCGUAGCCAAUAGGAUUGCGUGACCAAAAGGGGGGCGUGGCCAGAACAGAACGUGGCCAAAAGGGGGCUUGGAGCUAAAGGGGGCGUGGCCAAUAGUGGGCAUGGCCAAUGGGGUUGAGGUGGUGACGCAAAGGGGGCGUGGACAAAACGGAUGCGAGGCCAAGUGGGGGCGUGGCCAAAAUCACAUUGGCCAAUGGGGUGUGUGGUCAAAGGGGGCGUGGUCAAAAAGAAUGAAGCCGAAAGCGGGGUGUGGACAAACGGGGGGCGUAGCCAAUAGGGAUGCGAGGCCGAUAAGGGGGCGUGGCCAAAACAAACAUGGCCAAAGGGGCUCUAACCUAAAGGGGGCGUGGCCAACAGUGGGCUUGGCCAAUGGGGUUGGGGCGGUGCCGCAAAGGGGGCGUGGUCAAAAGGGAUGAAGCUGAAAGGGGGUGUGGACAGAGCGGGACGUAGCCAAUAGGGUUGCAUGACCAAAUGGGGGGCGUGG
rnacentral:lncRNA from 1 species